AUAAAAGAUUACCUUCUAAAAUUUUAACACUUUAAACAUGCAAAUCAAAAGUCUAUAAUAAACCAUGAGCAAAGGUCAGUGACGAAAGUGAAAAAAUUCCUUAAAUCUUUCUUUUUAACCCGAAAUCCUCAAGCCUUGAGGGACUCCCUGAGCCCUCUGAGAAAUCCUUAAAUCUUUCUUUUUAACCCGAAAAUCUCGCGCCUUGAGGGACUCCCUGAGCCCCCUGAGAAAUGCCUAAAUCCUUCUCUUAACCCUUACUCCCCGUGUCCUGAGGGACUCCCUGAGCCCACCUAGAAAUACCUCAUGAGAGUUCAGUGAGUUGCCCAUUAUUUUGGCUGGGUAGUUCUCAAGAUUUCCUCCUCCACGUAAGCCUCUGGGACGUAUAAACCCCGUGCCAGGUCAGCUGGGAAUUUCUUAAAUCUCUGGUGAUCCUUAUGUAACCGCUCUCCUUUUACCUUACGGCCUCUGCUCGCGUGUCAUAGGUUGGGAUGUAUAAGCCCCAUACCAGGAUGGCAACCACUAAGACUUAGCGAGCUCAGAGUUUGCCAGAGAGGGCGACACAGGUCGGGCCAGAGAAGAAUUACUUUUCCCAGUGAUUCAGAGUUUUCACUGCCGGUGUCGGGUACCCUUCACUCUUCCCCGAACGGCGAGGUGAAGCGCUUAUUAGUGGACUGGAGGGAGAUCAAGAAAACUAAAAAGGCCAGCCAAAGAGGGUGAGGGCUCUCAAGAGGUAUUUUGAAAUUCUUGUUUGAAAAGUUUCGUCUGCUUACCUUCACAACGAUGUGUCUCACGGGCGGGCGAAACCGUGGCGAUCAAGAUGCCGAGUCUUCACUCGCGAGUCAAUACUGCGCGGCGACUCUAUGGGGUGCCUGGCCAGGCGCUUCCAAGCAGACGUUCUCGCAGGGGGUCCCCAAGUCGCCCCACGUUGGGCGCCAGACUGUCCCGACCCGCGGGACAACAGCGGGGGAACCAAGAGACACCCUAGGAGAAUGAAACAAACAAGGGACACGAAAGAAUGGAGGCAAGACAGGAUUCUGAUCAAGCCUCAAAUUUUAUUCUUACCGCGGCAGGAUAUAUACUGUUUUAGGGACGGGGGGUGGGUGGAGAAGCCUAUUAGCUUAUCAGCAGGGGUGUAGCAGGCUCCGAUGUGGCGGUAGUUGCUUCAGGGAAUAGGAUGGUUAUCUUUAGCUGCUGGCCAAAUCGCAGGACACACGUAGUUUCUGGUAAUUAGGAGUUUCUGGAGGAACCAGAAACUUAUAAUUCUUAAGAUGGCUUUGUCUAAGCCAAUAUCUCUAAUGGCUCCCAACAGUUCCUCCCUUUUUCCUUAUUAAGGGGCGGGCUUUAACCGACUGGGGGAGUAGGGACCUGGUUCCUCCCGUGGGAUGGUGGGAUCCCACCUUCAGUGGCUCUUGGUAUCUUUUGGGGAGGAGAGGCAGAGCCGAUAGUUAUGUAUGGAUACCAGCCUCAGUGCAAACCAGGUGUGCUCACAGGGAAAUCCAGAGGCGGUCGAAAAUUUUUGUGACCUUCCCUUGCAGUGCUUUGCCGUGCACCCAGGUCGGUGCCCAUGCCUUUCUCCUUCUAUGGGGAGUAGGCAAGCAUCCCUCUGGCGUCAUGCUGUCCCCGCAGGGAGGGAGUUUUAGCAGUCAUAAUCACAAUCACGGUCUAACAUGGCUAGACGAUGGUAGUGUACCUGAAUGGGUUUGGCCAGGACGCUAUCAACCUGCUGUUUUACAAAGUCUGUUAAUUUUCUAAAAGCCCAGGGGCCGAAAGCUAGGAUUAGGAGAAGGCUUAUAAGGGGGCCGAGAACAGGAAGCAGGUAGGGCAGGAGUCCGUUCAGUCCACUCCAAAGGGGGUUCUCGAAUAAUUCUCUCCGUCUCUUCACUAGAUCUUCUUGUAACUUCUUUAUCUUGUCUCGGACGAUCCCGGAUUUGUUGGCAUAGAAGCAGCAGCGUUCCUGUAGGGCUAAGCAUAUUCCUCCCUGUUCUGCUGUGAGCAAAUCUAACCCUCUUCUAUUUUGUAGUACUACUUCAGCUAAUGAAUCUAUCUGAUCUUGGAGAUCAUUGAUAGUGCCUGAGAGAGCUUGGACAUCAUCAAUUAGCUGGUUAGAUAAUUUGUUAUAGGUAUGCAAUGCUGUUCCUAAAAAAAGGUCAAGAGAGGUCAAUACAGAAUGCUUAAAUGCCUUCCCCAGGAGGGAAUAAAUCCCUUCACAUUCUCAAAAUAUCCAAGGUAAAUAUUAAUUUGUAAGUUUGUUUGGGAUAAAUGCACAAUAUACUAUUGUAAAGCAUCAAAAAUUAAUAAAACUUUGUAGAAUAAUACCAUGUAACAAUAUUCUUUGUUCUAGGUCAUGACAAUUCAAUUUUAAAUUGGCUGUCUCCAGGUUUGGAAUGAGGGACCUAGUUUGCAAAAAAAAGCAAUUUACAGAAACGGACAGCAUGCCAUCCAAACUACAGUUUUGGGUCAUGACAAUUCAAUUUUAAAUUGGCUGUCUCCAGGUUUGGAAUGAGGGACCUAGUUUGCAAAAAAAAGCAAUUUACAGAAACGGACAGCAUGCCAUCCAAACUACAGUUUUGGGUCAUGACAAUUCAAUUUUAAAUUGGCUGUCUCCAGGUUUGGAAUGAGGGACCUAGUUUGCAAAAAAAAGCAAUUUACAGAAACGGACAGCAUGCCAUCCAAACUACAGUUUUGGGUAAACACAUUAUCUAGAGUCCUUGGGUAACCUAGGUAAAACUUAGGCAUGUUAUCUGAAUUACAGUUUUUACCUGAAUUAAU